AAUCUUCGGCAAUGGGCGAAAGCCUGACCGAGCGACGCCGCGUGGAGGAUGAAGGCCUUCGGGUCGUAAACUCCUAAAAGAGGGACGAUAGUGACGGUGCCUCUUGAAAAGCAACGGCUAACUCCGUGUCAGCAGCCGCGGUAAUACGUGGGGGGCAAGCGUUAUCCGGAAUCACUGUGCGUAAAGGGCUCGGAGGCGGUCGGUUAAGUCCGAUGUUAAAGGCUGGGGCUCAACCCCAGUAAAGCGUUGGAUACUGGCAGGCUAGACGGUUGGAGAGGCGAGUGGAAUUACCAGUGUAGCGGUGAAAUGCGUAGAUACUGGUAGGAACACCCAUGGCGAAGGCAGCUCGCUGGACAACCCGUGACGCUGAGGCGCGAAAGUGUGGGGAGCAAACCGG
rnacentral:rRNA from 1 species